rnacentral:lncRNA from 1 species
GGACCGUGUGGAGAGUGCGGGCGCUGGACAGCAGCUCCGGCCCCUCACCGACGCGCAGCCCGCGCCUGGGCCGACCUGUUGACUGAAAAUCAGCCGGCGCUUGGCCAGAUGCGUCGAUGGAGGCCCGCAGCCCAGCGACGACGUGGUAGUCAUGGCUGAAGCGGCGCCUGCCCCGAAAUCACACUGUGGACCGUGGUGCCUGCUGUUCAGGCCUUGGAGAAGAAAAGUGGAUUCUUGCCUGGCCCGCUUGCUGACUCUGGAGGGAUGCUCAGGGACAGCAGAGAAGAAGCUGGCUGACUGUGAGAAGACAGCUGUGGAGUUCAGCAGCCAGCUGGAGGGCAAGUUGGCCGUGCUGGGGACCCUGCCUCAGGAGUCUAGGCUGCUGCAUGAAGAACCUCAUGGGCAACUGGAACUUCUGGGUCCAGCGGCUUCCCCCUGGCAACAAGGGGGAGGUCCCCAAGAGUGGGCCAAGCUGGAGGACUGGCAGAAGAGGCUCGACAAGCAUGUGAUGGGGGCAGCUAUGAGAUGCUCGUUUCCCUGGGUAUUUCUCUGAGUCCAGAGCAGGCCCCAAGUCCAGCUAGCCCUGCCCAGGAGGAACUGAAUCAAAGGCAGACACCUGAGCAGCAGCAAGAGGAAGCAACCAUGAUUCCACCUGAGCCAGGCACUGGGAUUCCAGCAAGCACCAGCCCUUUAUCACUUAAACAGGAGGAAGAAUCUGCAGAGGGAGGAGAGUUGCCACCCUCCCCUUCCACAGAUAGCCUGCUUUCUGUGGAGCCAGGGAAGUCCAGCCCUGCAAGGGCCCAGCUCUGAACAGGACAGGACCUGCACUGUCUCAGGGCCUUUCCCUUGUGCCUGCCAAGUGGUGGAAGUUCCUUCACUUUCCAGCUGAGUUGGUACUUUAGGGGCCCUUCAAAAGCACAAGCUCCAGACCAGGAAUUUGAGGUGAUAGUGUCAUGCCUCAAAGUCAUGAGAGCGGGUGCUUCAUGUGCCUCUUUGUCACAGCACCUUGGGGACAGCCUUGUGGAGCUUCUGGAGCUGGGUGAUGGAUUCCAAUUCUGAUAGUUUGCUCUCUUGUUUGGCACUCAGACACCAGAGCACAUGAAGGCUCCCAGGUGCCUUCAUCCCUGGCUGUGCUAUUGCUAAAGUCCUGCAGACUCUGUAGCCACUCAGAAGUCCUGCACAGACGAGGCAGAGGGUGACACUGCCGUCAUUCCCAGGGUAGGGGUAUGACUGGCAAGACUGUGGCAUGCAGCCAUGGUUCUGGACGUUACUUGCCUGCACACCCAACCGUUGUUUAGGCCCUGCAAGCAAGACAGCAGUUGUCAGUAAGCGCUCAGACUGAACGUGGACAGUAUAGCUGCCCCAAACUUAAUCCUCCGCUGCAAGCACUCAUGUUGCUGUUCUGGGGGUUCCUAGGCCUCUCUUCUAAUGCUUUAGAUGUUCUCUGGAAAACAAGUAUUCAUAUUUGAAGCACAAAUCCAAGUGCUGGGGUGGGGGAAGAGGCGCUGUAUAAUCCUGGCUCGCCUUGGGCUUGCAGUGAAUUUUUUUCCCCUACCUCUAUCUACCUACUAGGAUUUCCUUGCUUGUGCCAUUAUGCACAACUGGGCUUACUGCAUUUAACCUGAAAUUCAAUAGGACAGGUUAAAGAGUAUUUUGAGUUAAGAAUGAACAAAGGCUGCAUGGUUGCCUGAGCUCAAAGACGUUGGAUCCCAGAUUCUGAUGACUUAUUUUGUAAAACAAAGAUAUGGUUGGGUUGGUUACAAGGCCCUAAGAACCAUGGAGGUGGAAAUAUUAACUUAAUCGGUGCUCUAUAAAUACACUGGAAAAUG